rnacentral:lncRNA from 1 species
GUAGUUUCCAAGAAAAUAUGAAGGCAGGAAAUGAAGAAAAAUAAUUUACAACCAAUUGGAAAUGAAUAACCACUAAAAAUGGGCAAUAAACUUUACAUUUAUCUCAAAAGGGCAAAAAUUAGCUUCAUAUAGUACAAGUCAUCCUAUCCAGUUCAAGAAAACAUGUAGUCUUCAAAAGCUUCCAAAUUGUGAAAUACACACCAGAUGUGCUUUGAAUGUAGUUUGAACUCAAUAGCUUGCACAGGACACAUAUCAACAAAAUCAGAAGCUAUUCGGCUCUCGAGUCCCCAGAUAAGAACGCAUCACAUGCAAAAAGCCCAAGGACAAAAUUAAAAUACAUACUCCAUAAAAUGAUUACUAACAGGUUAGUAUAUCCAAUGAUCACUAAUUACCAAACACGAUUCUAAGAUCAAGAAUCCUUCUCUUUCCCUGCUGAAUUUACUUGCUCGGAGGCAGGGGGGUCCAAAUUCAUUUGCUCUGGCAUCGGUAGCAUGGAUUCCACUUGAUUUGUACCUUGCAAAAUGGUAUCUAUUUCACCAUUCAUGGGUACAAUGGAGUCUGUUUGGUUGGUUUUUGUCAAGGUAGGAUCCCUUGGACCUAUUGCUUGUUGGGCAGAGUCCAUUUGAUUGGUUAAUGUUGAAUCAGGAAUUCUUUUAUCGAUUGCAGGCAGGGAAGAAUCCAUUUCAUCUGUAGUAGCCACUGCUGUUGUAUGAACGAGAUUCUUCUGUUCUAAGUUUGCUUUUGUUAUCUCAUAAUCAUUUAGGACAACCAUGAACUCGUUGAGCAACCUUUGAACUUCUCUAUUUGAUGCCAUAGCUGGAAGAAUAUCUUCUCGAAGGAGCUUGUGCUUGUUCAUUCCCUGUGAAGACACAAGUUACAAACUGUCAUCAAAUAAUAAAAAUUCACAUAAAAGAAAAACAUUAAAAAGGACAUAGCAAACAAGAAGAUGCAGACAUGGGCAGCCCAACAACAAACUUUCGAGAGAAUUUACAUCACACCAGAAACAUAAAUACCAGUUUAAACACCUACAAGAAUUAAGGAAGAAUACAAAAAGGCCUUACCAGAACAUAAGGGUCCCAUGCUGCUGUUUUUACAUCGGAUGAUGGAGCUUCAGUCAUCCCAAUAGGAGGUCCAAGAAAGCUCUCACAAACUUCUCGUAGACGGUACUCGUCAGCCUCUCUACA